UGGUCAUUUAGAGGAAGUAAAAGUCGUAACAAGGUUUCCGUAGGUGAACCUGCGGAAGGAUCAUUACAAGUGAGGCUACCGAACGUUGGAAACAGCGGUUAGGAGCUUACACCCACCCGUGUUUACAUACUAUUGUUGCUUUGGCGGGCCGUGGCCUCCACUGCGGGCUCUGCUCGUGUGUGCCCGCCAGAGAACCAAACUCUGAAUGUUAGUGAUGUCUGAGUACUAUCUAAUAGUUAAAACUUUCAACAACGGAUCUCUUGGUUCUGGCAUCGAUGAAGAACGCAGCGAAAUGCGAUAAGUAAUGUGAAUUGCAGAAUUCAGUGAAUCAUCGAAUCUUUGAACGCACAUUGCGCCCUGUGGUAUUCCGCAGGGCAUGCCUGUUCGAGCGUCAUUUAACCACUCACGCCUAGCGUGGUAUUGGGGCACGCGGUCUCCGCGGCCCUCAAAAUUAGUGGCGGCGCCGGUGGGCUCUAAGCGUAGUACAUACUCCCGCUAUAGAGUUCCCCCCGGUGGCUCGCCAGAACCCCCAAUUUUUUACAGGUUGACCUCGGAUCAGGUAGGGAUACCCGCUGAACUUAAGCAUAUCAAUAAGCGGAGGA
rnacentral:rRNA from 1 species